rnacentral:rRNA from 1 species
AAGGUUUCCGUAGGUGAACCUGCGGAAGGAUCAUUAUCGUACAACCGAGGUGCAAGGGCUGUCGCUGACCUUUGAAGGUCGUGCACGCCCGAGCGCUCUCGCCACAAUCCAUCUCACCCCUUUGUGCAUCACCGCGUGGGUCCCCCUUUGCGGGGAGGGCUCGCGUUUUCACACAAAACUUGAUACAGUCUAGAAUGUUUAUUUUUGCGGUAACACGCAAUCAAUACAACUUUCAACAACGGAUCUCUUGGCUCUCGCAUCGAUGAAGAACGCAGCGAAAUGCGAUACGUAAUGUGAAUUGCAGAAUUCAGUGAAUCAUCGAAUCUUUGAACGCACCUUGCGCCCCUUGGCAUUCCGAGGGGCACACCCGUUUGAGUGUCGUGAAAUUCUCAAAAUCCUUUUCUUUGAUCGGAAUAGGACUUUUGGACUUGGAGGUUCAAUGCUCGCUUUCGCCUUUGAAAGCGAGCUCCUCUCAAAUGAAUCAGUGGGGUCCGCUUUGCUGGUCCUUGACGUGAUAAGAUGCUUCUACGUUUUGGAUUUGGCAUUGUUUUCUCCGCUCCUAACCGUCCCAUGGGACAACGAUGGUGCUUCGGUCGUCGCCAUUCAUGGCGGGAGGGCUGAACCCACAAAGAACCUUGACCUCAAAUCGGGUGAGACUACCCGCUG